AGUGAGUUUCUGGCUCCAGCUAGAGAAAGCCAGAAGAGCUGCGAGGUGACUCAGAGGACACGUGUUAGCAAACCCAGCUAUGAAGUAAGGUAGCUGGCUGAGCCAGCUAUAGCUGGCUGGGCCAACUUAAAAAUCUAGUUCACUAUAAAAUGACACCAAAAGCAGAAAAAUAGGGAAAACACACACACGCAAGACUUCAAGAAACAGGGGAACAAGGAGCUGAACGCGAAAGGCAGAGAGUGUGAGCACGAAACGACGGAGGAAACGAUGUGGAUGCACACCAACUGUUUGAGGAAUCAACCGGUGUUGUUAUUUCAUCUCUUUUCUUCUCACUUGUGUAAAGCUACCAUGGUAAUGAGUAGUUAAAGACACUGUGGUUGGGAUUAGAUGUAAUUAACUUUAUUAAUAUGUAUUUGUUUUGAUCAUGGCGUUAUAUAAGGUUUUAGUUGUCUCUCAAUAUUGAUGUUAUCCUUGUGUUUAUUGUUUUAAUCUUUAGAUUUGAAGUGUUAUAGGGA
rnacentral:lncRNA from 1 species